UUAUUUUAGUUUUCCUUUUUUUUUUUUUUUGCUCUAAAGUAAAGGUUGUUAAAAUGAUUUGUACUUGGAGAGGCGUAAAAUCGCUGACUUGCAUGUUUGCAACUGAAGUCUAAAUCCAGCAUCUUCGCUGCUUAUGAAAAUGUUCUCAGUUUAGCCAAAAUCAUGUUUGGUACUGAUAUUAAUGCGCAUGUUGCAUUAUAAAUAACACGUUCCAAGAACAGAUACGUAGGUGAGAUUUGUUCGUUUAGAGCUGUAGGUUCUAUUUAUUAAAUCUUUACUAAUUUAUUUAUUUCAAAGAUAUAAAGAAAAUCUAAUUAUAUUUCUUUUACAUUAAAUAUUUGAUUACUUUCCAUGACAUAUUUCUGAUUUCAAUAACUGCCACUAAUUUCUUGGCCUGUACAGUAAGUUUAACAUCCUUUCAAAAGUUCCGUCCUCUUUACACCAAUUGGUUGACCGUAAAAAUAGCAAGCAGCAUUCAGCCUCCAAGAUGUGGGGAAAUUGCACGUUUUUCAAAUAUUGUAUUAAUGUUGGUUUGUCAUUAAUAUCUAUUGUUUUAUGCCCUCUGUAGUGUUUACAUUUUAUUGUAUGUGGGGAUUUUUAUUGGUGGCUGAAUGUAUUUAAACAUGCCAUUAACACUGACAUGUCAGGACGUCAUCCGAAGGGGAAAAUGGUGUAAACGUAGUUUCUCUCUCCCUCUUUCUUGCUCUGGAACAAAUGUUUGUAAGGAUUUGCUCGCUGCUACUGAGAGUUACAGCAGGAAUGGACAUAAGCACAAUGGGUUGAAGGAAGUGUAGGACAAUUGCUUUGCUCUCAUUUGAGGUGAAAUGUUGAAUUAAAUGUAUUUUUUUUAUUGUUUUUUUAACAUGAGAAGAACCCAUGUAAAAUAGUUUCAGGUUAUUCACAAUGAUAAGUUAGUCUGAGCAAAAGAAAAACCCUGAUGUUGAAGAAUUCGGUGGUAUUAGCGUUACAUAUUGGGUUUUAUCACAUUUGGAAAUUUUUUUCAAAUUGAGGAAAUAUU